rnacentral:rRNA from 1 species
AGCAGCCGCGGUAAUUCCAGCUCCAAUAGCGUAUAUUAAAGUUGUUGCAGUUAAAAAGCUCGUAGUUGAAUUUCGGGAUCAAUAUAUCGGUCGUGCCUUGGUACGUACUGGUAUCAUUGGUUUCCCCUUUCUGACGAACCAUGAUGUCAUUAAUUUGGUGUUAUGGGAAGUUAGGACUGUUACUUUGAAAAAAUUAGAGUGUUUAAAGCAGGCUUUAGCUUGAAUACAUUAGCAUGGAAUAAUGAAAUAGGACGUUCGAACCUAUUUUGUUGGUUUCUAGGAUCAACGUAAUGAUUAAUAGGGAUAGUUGGGGGCAUUAGUAUUCAAUUGUCAGAGGUGAAAUUCUUGGAUUUAUUGAAGACUAACUACUGCGAAAGCAUUUGCCAAGGAUGUUUUCAUUAAUCAAGAACGAAAGUUAGGGGAUCGAAGACGAUCAGAUACCGUCGUAGUCUUAACCAUAAACUAUGCCGACUAGGGAUCGGAUGAUGUUAAUUUUUUAAUGACUCAUUCGGCGCCUUAC